GCACUGCUGAUGAGUCCCAUAAUAGGACGAAACGGCCGUCCAGUGC
rfam:Schistosoma rodhaini strain Burundi genome assembly, scaffold: SROB_scaffold0007396